AAAAAUUGAGUAGCCCUGAUCAUAUGGUCCUUGAGUACUUCUAUCCAGUUGGUGGGAAUGUUGUUCUUAAUGGCAUGUAAAAGAUAUACAUCUUCAACAGUCAUUUCGUCCAGCACCAAUCUCCCAAGUAGAGUCAGUUGUGCCAAAAUGUAUGCCAGUAACAUCUCCUCAAUUCUAAGAUCCUUAUGGAGUAACAUGUUUUCCCU
rnacentral:lncRNA from 1 species